rnacentral:rRNA from 1 species
AGCGAACGCUGGCGGCAGGCUUAACACAUGCAAGUCGAGCGGGCACUUUCGGGUGUCAGCGGCGGACGGGUGAGUAACGCGUGGGAACGUGCCCUCUGGUUCGGAAUAACUCAGGGAAACUUGAGCUAAUACCGGAUACGCCCUUUUGGGGAAAGGCUUGCUGCCGGAGGAUCGGCCCGCGUCUGAUUAGCUAGUUGGUGAGGUAACGGCUCACCAAGGCGACGAUCAGUAGCUAGUCUGAGAGGAUGAUCAGCCACACUGGGACUGAGACACGGCCCAGACUCCUACGGGAGGCAGCAGUGGGGAAUAUUGGACAAUGGGCGCAAGCCUGAUCCAGCCAUGCCGCGUGAGUGAUGAAGGCCUUAGGGUUGUAAAGCUCUUUUAUCCGGGACGAUAAUGACGGUACCGGAGGAAUAAGCCCCGGCUAACUUCGUG